UGAUGGAGGGGGAUAACUACUGGAAACGGUAGCUAAUACCGCAUAACGUCGCAAGACCAAAGAGGGGGACCUUCGGGCCUCUUGCCAUCGGAUGUGCCCAGAUGGGAUUAGCUAGUAGGUGGGGUAACGGCUCACCUAGGCGACGAUCCCUAGCUGGUCUGAGAGGAUGACCAGCCACACUGGAACUGAGACACGGUCCAG
rnacentral:rRNA from 1 species